rnacentral:rRNA from 1 species
CUUGAACGCUGGCGGCAGGCCUAACACAUGCAAGUCGAACGAGUGGCGGACGGGUGCGUAAUGUCUGGGAAACUGCCUGAUGGAGGGGGAUAACUACUGGAAACGGUAGCUAAUACCGCAUACUAUCAGAUGUGCCCAUAUGGGAUUAGCUAGUUGGUGGGGUAACGGCUCACCAAGGCGACGAUCCCUAGCUGGUCUGAGAGGAUGACCAGACACACUGGGACUGAGACACGGUCCAGACGCCGACGGGAGGCAGCAGUGGGGAAUAUUGCACAAUGGGCGCAAGCCGGAUGCAGCCAUGCCGCGUGUAUGAAGAAGGCCUUAGGGUUGUAAAGUACUUUCAGCGGGGAGGCGUUACCCGCAGAAGAAGCACCGGCUAACUCCGUGCCAGCAGCCGCGGUAAUAC